rnacentral:lncRNA from 1 species
UUAUUGGAUGUCUUUGAACGUGAGUGUAGAAGGAUUGUCCAUAGCAUUGCUCUUGAUUUGUGGUUGAGUCUAAUUGUGAAAGUUACAGAGGUUUCGAGCCAUAUUAGGUAACAAGAGCUUAAGGGUGGUGGUAAACAAGAUUCUCGUGAGAAACGAGUUGAAUGGUCAUAUUGUAAUUAUUAUCGUGGUGGUGAAGUUAUAUUUGGUCAUUAGGGACAACAAAUAUUAGUAUC